GCUGGGCGUGGUGGCUUAUGCCUGUAAUCCUAGCACUUUGGGAGGCUGAGGUGGGAGGAUUGCUUGAGCCCAGGAGUUUGAAAUCAGCCUGGGCAGCAUAGCGAGAUCCCAUCUCAU
ensembl:misc_RNA Metazoa_SRP Metazoan signal recognition particle RNA